UGGGAAAUGGGGGGGUUUGGGGGGAAAAAGGGGGGGUUUGGGAAAAAUGGAAUUGGGGGAAAAAAGGGGGAAUUUGGGGAAAAAGGGGAAAAUGGAAUUGGGGGUGAAACGGGAGUUUGGGGGAAAAGGGGAGUGGGGGAUGGGGAUGGGAAUGGGGGAUGGGAAAUGGGGUCAGGAUUGGGGAUUGGGAUCAGGAUUUGGGAUCAGGAUUUGGGUCUGGGGUCAGGAUCGGGGUCAGGAUUGGGGAUUUGGGUUGGAUUUGGGAUCAGGAAUGGGAUCAGGAUUUGGGUCUGGGGUCUCAGGUGGAGUCCCCCCCCCGUGUGGAGCUGGUCCCGGGUUUGGGGUUGGGGUUGGAUUUGGGAUCAGGAUUUGGGAUCAGGAUUUGGGAUCAGGGUCAGGAUUUGGGAUCAAGAUCAGGAUUUGGGAUCAGGAUCUGAUUUGGGUCUGGGGUCUCAGGUGGAGUCCCCCCCCCGUGUGGAGCUGGUCCCGGGCUCUCCGGGCGCGGCCGAGUCCCCGCGCGGUCGCUGCGUCAGGGCCGGCUGCGAGAACGCGCCCGUGG
rnacentral:lncRNA from 1 species